UACGAAGGGGGCUAGCGUUGUUCGGAAUUACUGGGCGUAAAGCGCGCGCAGGCGGUCUUCCAAGUCAGUGGUGAAAGCCUGGAGCUCAACUCCAGAACUGCCAUUGAAACUGUGAGACUUGAGUAUGAGAGAGGUGAGUGGAAUUCCCAGUGUAGACGGUGAAAUUCGUAGAUAUUAGGGAAGAACACCGGUGGCGAAGGCGGCU
rnacentral:rRNA from 1 species